rnacentral:lncRNA from 1 species
UCCUUCUUGCCUUCUGUUUAAUCCUUUUUGCUUUGAAAGGAUGUGCUUAUUCUUUUUAUAUCUAGACUUAUAAAGGACUGUGCACAUGUGCAGUGAAGGCAGUGCAGCAAUAUUGCCGAAGGCCUUUGGUGAACCAUCCGUACUUCCCAGACGGCAAACUGAGUCAUGAGAAGGGAUCUGCUCAAGGGCAGUUUUCUGAAGCCUGCAACUAACAACAUUGUAAAUGGACUACAGUUACAAUGUGGGUGGGAAAACUGAGGCCGGCAUGGGGGGUAGGGAGAGGAGUUAUUUAACAGGUACAGGGUGCAGCACUGGUCCUCUAGGCUCCAAGGUUUUCACAGGAAAAUUCUUCCUCGGAGGUCCCAGAAAAAUUGCAUUUUUGUAAUUGUGCUGAAGUUUCACAUUAGCAUUGUUCUCACCUAGCUAAGAGCAUAGUAUAUCAUGACAAAGGUAGGGCAGGAAGGUUGCCAGGACUUUGAUGAAGUUCAAAAUUUUUUUUGCACUCUUGAUAUCUGUUGCACUUCCCUGGGUCUGAACACAGAUUAUCUAGGUCAAUUCAAUUUCUUUGGAAGGAAACAAUUUUAAAGUUGCAAGCAGAUAUCUCUACUACUUGUGUACAUUCUGUGGGAUUUCAGCUGGCAUCUAGUGCACAUUUAAUGACGUGCAGGCUUGUGAUGUUGAUCUGUGGUCAAUCAGGGAUCAGUUACAAGCAGUUGAAUAAGUUGUCUUAAUUAGUGUUAUUUUAAUACAGCCAAACCAAAAGUUUUGAAGUUUUGUUUCUAUUUGAUAGUUGUGUAGUGUCUAUAAUAUUACUAUAAUCAAUUUCUCAAUAUUUUCAGUUUUCCUGCUCUCCAUACAAAAUAAAAAUAUUUCUCUCCAAUUAAAGAGUGACUACGGACUGGGUAUUAGAUGAUAUCUGGAAACCUUACUGUUUACUCUAACAAUCCUUAUAUAUGACACUAAUGAUUUAGUGAUGUUGAGUAUCUUUUCAUGUGUGUGUUGGCCAUCUCUACAUCUUUUUUAAGAAGAUUUUUAGUUUGAUGUCAUCCCAUUUGUUUGCUUCUGUUUCCCUUGCCUGAGGAGACAUACCCUUCAAAAUACUGCUCUGACUAGUGUCAAAGAACAUACUACCUGUUUGCUUCCAGGAGUUCUAUGGUUUUAGGUCUUACAUUUAAGUUUGGAUUUAUUAAUCCAUUUUGAGUUUAUUUUUGUAUAUGAUGUGAGAAGGUAGUUUAGUUUGAUUCUUUUGCAUAUAACUGUCCAGUUUUCUCCACACCAUUUAUUGAAAAGACUGUUUUUUCCUUAUGGUAUUUUCUUGCAUCCUUUGCCAUAGGUUAAUUGCUCAUAUAAGUGUGGGUUUAUUUCUGGGCUCUCUAUUCUGUUCCAUUAAUCAAUGUCUGUUUUGUGCCAGCAUCAUACUGUUUUGAUGACUAAAGCUUUGUAGUAUAGUUUGAAAUCAGGGAGCACAAUACCUCUUGUUUUGUUCUUUUUUUCUUAAGAUUGUUUUGGCUGGUCAGGGUCUUCUGUAUUUCUGUACAAAAUUUAGAAUCAUUCUAGUCCUGAGGAAAAUGCCAUUGGUAUUUUGAUAGGAAUUGCAUUGAAUCUGUAGAUUCCUUGGGCAGUGUGGUUAUUUUAACAAUAUUCUUCUAAUCCUUGCGAUUUUUAUCAUGGAAAUGUUCAAGUAUGCACAAAAGUAGAGAGAAUACUAUAAUCAACUAUCAUAUCACUUCAACCCUACAUAAUUCAGUCUGCAUUUCUAAACAAGAACAUUUUCUUACACAAGCAGAACACCAAUGCUACCCUUAAUGAAAUUCUUAAGAGUUCUCAUCACAAGACACUUUUUUUUCUUCUGUUUCUAUACAAGAAGGUGGCUGUUCUUGGGUAGAACCUAUUGUAAUCAUUUCAUGAUGUAUGUGAGUCAAAUCAUGAUGCACUAUACCUUAGACUUACACAGUGCUGUAUGUCAAUUAUAUCUCAAUAUUGGAAUUAAAAAAGGUAGCUCCCUCCUACAGGUGCACACUAAAAUGAAAAGCUACUGCAUUUGACCCCCACACAUAGAGCGAACCCCACCACCCUCUGCCUGGUUUGAAAAGAUGAACAAGGAAAUCUAGGAAAUGCUAGGGCUACUUCCGAGUGCCUGUGACAACAGAAACACACCCAUGAUUACAAAUGAGCCCAGGAGCCUGGCGUCCAGGUAGUUGGUGCUGGACCCUGUGGGGCCCAUAGUUGGGAAAGGAGAGGGAAGGCUUUCUGCGUUCAGGCUCAGAUGGCAUGAGAAACCUGUCCUGGGGAAGGAGGGGCUCCCAUCCCUAGGGCUGUGUUUCUGGGGUGUCACUGUCCUCUGGCUCAUGCCUCCUACCCACCACAUCCCUCCAUUUCCAGAAAGUGCUUCUUAGGCACUCCCUACACAUUCCCACUCCAUCUACUUGCUGAUGGCUAAAAUCCCCCGAAGGUGAGAAAACUUGUCAAUCUCUAAUCAGUGAUGAGAUAUAUAAAAGCAAACACCUGAUGGAGAUGAAGCACUGGCCUCACUUACCCUGAGAUCUAAUCAGCCGGCAAGUGUUCGGGGUUGAGAUGAGAACUUUUCCUCAUAAGAGGGGAAGAAAGUGGUGGGGGCUGUGCCUAGAAAGCAGAAGCUGCUGCUCCUGAGUCGUUCUGGUCUGUGUGUGGACCAGCAAAGGCCUUUCUCGCUUCUGUGGCCUCUCCUGUCUAAGGCAGGGAAGCCCCUAAUGGGAAACCCUGAGAUAAGCUUUUGAAGCAAGAAGCCUUCCCAUUAUUUUUGGCCAGUGGAAAUCAAUUUCAUUCCUCUACAGUAUGAGGUUUUCCUCUCUUCAAGUAUGACGGGGGAAGAGGCCUCAGAUUCCGGGGAGGCAAGCUAUGUCUUCCCUGCCUACUGAGGGGCUGGGAUGUGGCCACCUCAUUUUGGAAGCUGUAGCAGUUCAGUUUUCCUCUCCGGCUCUGUUACAUAGAGACUAGGUCUGAAUAAGUGAAACAGGCAAUCUCUGCUAUCUCAUACAUAAUGUUUUUACCUUGGAUUAACCAGGUGCUUUUAGAUCUUUGCUCUUUACCAUAAAUUAGCUGAACUGUCUUACAUAUAGUAUUAGACAUAAGGUAAGCAGUAUAUAAUUUUGCUCCAUGACCCAAACAGUGCCUUGUACAAACUUGCUUUGUGCCAGGGAUCUAAGAGAGUCUGAGCUAUGUUUUAAGUGUAUUUGUAAAUGGCUUGGAUGGAGGGGGAAUAAAUUAAGAUGACUGUAAGGGGAGGUAUCGAGUAGCCACAUUCCUGCCUCUCUUGCCCUUACAGUCACUGUUGAAAUCAUCAGCCCAUUGAGGAUGUGUUUUUACCUCUCAGAAUUGUUCACAAGCUAUUAAAAUAUUUGCAGUUAUAGAGGCUAAAUACCAGAUGCUUCCCCUCCCUCUGAGUAUGGAGAUGUUGUUAAAAUGUACAGGGACUUACUGAAUUGCUAAUAAGUGUUGAACUCUUAAAAGCGCUUUAGAAAAAUUAUGACCCGAUGAACAGUUUGCAUCUGCCUUCAAAAAAUGGGUUAAGUUUUUCCUUCAUUAGACUUUCAUCUGCGUCAGAAGAUAAAUAACAAUAAUGCUGUGAUACUGGGCCAAGGACAUUAGUGGUCUAGUAAUGAAGCAGAGGGAGGCUGGAAAAUUCUGAAAAUCUUGGCCAGGGAACAGGAUCCAGAAUCCAGAAGGCCAGAGAAUCAGUAGCAGUGACUUUAGUAGGUGAUUAUGGAAUCCAGGAUCUCUAGAGUUGGUGCAGGCUGCAAACGCGUUCUUGAAGGUUUUAGCUGAUUUUCUAAUCUUUUUAGCCUUUAAAGUGGGUGUGUGUUGAGAAAAGUUAGUAUCUUUCCAGAUUGGAGGUUAGUGCACAGGGAUUCAUGCUGUGGUUUUCAAUUCAUAGCCAUGGAACCAGCAGCAUCAGCAUCAUUCAGGUGUUGGCAAAAGUUCAAUUAACUAUCAAGAAGAAAAAAGGGAAUUUUAUUCAAGCCAAACUGGGGAUUAUACCCUGGGAAGCAGAUUCUCAGAAAGCUCUGAGAACUGUUUGGCCUGUUAGAGGUUGAAGGCAUAGUCAUGUACGUUUUUGAGUCAAAGGGUCGUACAUCAAAAUAACAUACUGAUAUUUUACAUAAAGCUCACCAAGGAUAUGUGGUCCAGGUAAACAUGUACAAAGUGAACAGCAAGUCACUGCGACUCCCUACAAACCUGGGUAAGAACACUCUUCUUUUAAGAAGUUGCAUUGCUGGAGUCAGAAGAAAGAAAAAAAAUGAUCUUGAUGGUUGAGCAGGCACUGCCAUGUUUGAGGAGCCCUGGUUAAUGGCUAACACAGAUGCACACUGAACACUAGGCAGGGGGGCCCAAAGGCACAUGCACAGAAUUUUAUGUUUAGUUUUAUCUUGUCCUCCCUUAAAACACAAAUUUUGUUUCAUCACAUAAUUGUUAGAAAUGCAAAUUCUUAGGCCGAGAUCAGACUUACUGAAUUAGCUGUUUUAACGUUUCCAGGUGAUUCUGAUCCCUGCCUAGGUAGGAGCACCAACUGUCUAUGUGCCUUCAGUUGAUUCCACCCAGUGGCAUAUGGGAUUUCAGUAGUCUUGGUGAAGAGGUGAAGAUGAGAGCUUGGUUUGUAAGCUCCCAGGUAGUGAUUAAAUAAAUAGGUGGUUGAGUUUUGAUGGCUAAAGUUGGCUACAGAUUCAACAACAAAAUUUCUUUUUUCUAAAAAUCUGGAAGAUAGCUUGCCUCUUCAGUAUGAAAUAUUCUCAAACCCAAGAAGGAAAGUACUGACUUCAAAAGGAAAAGAAAAAAGGAAGGGUCUGGUAAACACCAGGACACACAUGACUAGUUUUAGUUGACAAUACAAAAAUCACGCACCCCAAAGAAAACUUAUUUGAUGGUAUUAAAUGAAAUUUUAUCCACAUGAGAGGAUAUGCAAACUAUAUAUAUGGAUGGAUAAUCACUGUGAAAUUGUUGAAUUUUGGUAAAAAGUAAUUUUCAUUUGUGGAGAUUAACAUUUUUCACUUCUUACCAGCUCAGAGGCCUCCUAGCAGGCAAAGUCACAUAAUUUUUAGUCAUUUUAAGCAUUGGAUCAGUUAUGUAACAGGUCUGUUAUGAGCAUCAAAUGGAUAAAGAUGAAAUGUAAAGCCCUCUUGC